AUUCUCAGCUGCUGCUCAUUUCAGCAAGUCUUCACAAAUAAUCCCCAAAGCUUGUGAAGCUUUCCUUGGGAAAGAGGUCAGAUUUAUGAUGUUACUCAUAUGAAAAUACAAAAGGACCAAGCUUCUACUGUUCAACACGUAUCUUCACUCAUAACAAGAUUAACCCAUUCCAAGCCCCCAGCAGCAACUGAGCCAGGCACUAUGUAAUGCCAUUUGUAAGCCACCUUGAGUCCCCCAGGGGUUGAGAAAGGCAGGAUAUAAAUAUGAAUUGCAUAGCUCUAAUAAUUUAUAACAUGGAAAAAGCACAGAUUUUGGUUAAUGGAGAAUGAAUAAAUAGAUGUGAAAUUCCAAAAAAGAACAAGAUAUUCCAAAGCUUUGAAAAAAAUUGGACUACAAUUCCCAGAAUCCCCUCUAUACAGCAGACAUGGUUCAUAUCCCUGCUGGCUUGUCCAAAAAGGUAAGCAAAAGUAUAAAAAUAGAAGAGGAUGAAUGAGGGGGGAGGAGAGAGAAUGAGGAAGAUUGUCUAAAAGAGUAACAUUUGCCAGCCCUGAGACUAUCCCAAUUUCAG